UACGGAGGGGGCUAGCGUUGUUCGGAAUGACUGGGCGUAAAGCGCGCGUAGGCGGAUCGGAAAGUUGGGGGUGAAAUCCCGGGGCUCAACCCUGGACUUGCCUUCAAAACUCCCGGUCUUGAGUUCGAGAGAGGUGAGUGGAAUUCCGAGUGUAGAGGUGAAAUUCGUAGAUAUUCGGAGGAACACCAGUGGCGAAGGCGGCUCACUGGCUCGAUACUGACGCUGAGGUGCGAAAGCGUGGGGAGCAAACAGG
rnacentral:rRNA from 1 species